GUGGGGAAUCUUGCGCAAUGGGCGAAAGCCUGACGCAGCCAUGCCGCGUGGAUGAUGAAGGUCUUAGGAUUGUAAAAUCCUUUCACCGGUGAAGAUAAUGACUGUAGCCGGAGAAGAAGCCCCGGCUAACUUCGUGCCAGCAGCCGCGGUAAUACGAAGGGGGCUAGCGUUGCUCGGAUUUACUGGGCGUAAAGGGCGCGUAGGCGGACAUUUAAGUCAGGGGUGAAAUCCCGGGGCUCAACUCUGGAACUGCCCUUGAUACUGGCGAUCUUGAGUGUGAGAGAGGUAUGUGGAACUCCGAGUGUAGAGGUGAAAUUCGUAGAUAUUCGGAAGAACACCAGUGGCGAAGGCGACAUACUGGCUCAUUACUGACGCUGAGGCGCGAAAGCGUGGGGAGCAAACAGGAUUAGAAACCCCGGUAGUCC
rnacentral:rRNA from 1 species